CAAUAGCGUAUAUUAAAGUUGUUGCAGUUAAAAAGCUCGUAGUUGGAUUUGUGGCGUACGGUGUGUUCCGGGCACUUGUUGUCUGAGUAACCUGCUGUUGCCAUCCUUGGGUGGAACCUGUGUGGCAUUAGGUUGUCGUGCAGGGGAUGCCCAUCAUUUACUGUGAAAAAAUUAGAGUGUUCAAAGCAGGCUUAUGCCGUUGAAUAUAUUAGCAUGGAAUAAUGAGAUAGGACUUUUUUGCUAUUUUGUUGGUUUGCGCAAGAAGGUAAUGAUUAAUAGGGACAGUUGGGGGUAUUCGUAUUCCAUUGUCAGAGGUGAAGUUCUUGGAUUUUUGGAAGACGAACUACUGCGAAAGCAUUUACCAAGGAUGUUUUCAUUAA
rnacentral:rRNA from 1 species